UUAUUUUUUUAUUAUAAUAUAUAACAAAUAUUCAAGAUUUAGGCAAUUGAUAUUUAUAAUUAGGGGCAAAUUUCAAAGGGAUCACACUGUCACAAUACCCUAAGCAACCUUGAUCAACAUAUUCAAAAUUUGAACUGGACAUGAACAUGCAUACAACAAACAAAGAUGUCUUCUAUCAUGAACAAAGUAAUAUGAAUUUUACAAUGGAUUUAGAUCCAAAAGUUCCAAUUAAUUCUAUUGACACUGGAUAGUGCAUAUGAUAGCCUUCAGUUGACAUGACUCUUGGAUUUAGGAAGAUUAGUGAUUUCACAUAAUUUGGAUAACAUCUUUUGUAUUUGAAAUCAGAAAAUUCAACUUUAAGGACAGUGAGUACAGAGAAACAGAACUAAAGGAUACACAGAUAUGUAACACAACAACCUAUAGAGGACAGAGAAAAUUUUGUUUUAUUAUUAAAUCAUACUUUUUUAAA